rnacentral:lncRNA from 1 species
CCGCUUCUCCUCCGCCGGGCCUUCUGUUGGAGAGAGCUGUGCUUGAGGACUGAACAGACCUUCCCGAUGGUAGCUGUUUGUCACACUUGGGAUUGCACAACCCGGGGACAGCACAGCAGGCUCCAGGAUGCAGCAGCAGGUGUGAGCAGGAAGAGAAAGAGGUCUUGAACAAGAAGAGAUAACCACGUAAAAUAUCUGCAAGAAGGACACGCCCACCAUCAUGUCAAUGCCUGAACCUCUUCCUGGAAUAUUCCAUCACUUUCCCAUGUUUGACAGAUUUAAGGAGCACAGAUGAUCCCAACCUGCAUAUGCUCACUGUUUCCUGC